CAAUAGCGUAUACUAACGUUGUUGCAGUUAAAAAGCUCGUAGUUGGAUUUCUGAAGGUGGUUGGAUUGGUGUGACCUCGCGUUGCCUCAACCAUACUAUUUUCAACAUAUGCGAUGAAUUGGUGUGGUUAAUUAAGUUUGAUCCGCCAUUAAAUCGCUCGUUUACUUUGAGAAAAUUAGAGUGUUCAAAGCAGGCAUAACGCCUUGAAUAUGUUCGCAUGGAAUAAUAGCAUAGGACUUUGGUUCUAUUUGUUGGUUGUUCGAGAACUGGAGUAAUGAUUGAUAGGGACGGUUGGGGGCAUCCAUAUUCUCAAGCGAGAGGUGAAAUUCUUGGACCUUGGGAAGACGAACAGCUGCGAAAGCGUUUGCCUAGGACGUUCNCUUUA
rnacentral:rRNA from 1 species